GAUACUGAUAUACAGAUUAAAAGUUAGGCCUGCAGUAUAUCAUUGUUAACCUUCUGAUAAAAAAAAAUCAACAGCAAAAGAAGAUGUUAAAAAUAAAGUUCAUGGUUGUGAAUAAAAUUGAUUUCAAUAAUCUUUUUUAAUUAUUAUUUUUAAAACAACUUUAUGUUGUUGUGUUUCACGCCAUAUUAUCAGACCACCUUAAGUGGGUCCGCCUUAAAUUUUGAGUUUGUGUGAUCGCUGUUGAUUGGUAGCUAAACUGCUGGUAAACUGUGUACAGACGUUUUACGUUCGAAUUGCAGAGAAAAAAAAAUUCUGGUUGCAACAUUGUGCAGUAUGAGCGAACCAUUUCACCAAAAAAAGGGGAAGCAAGGCAAGACGUGGCUGCAGCGGUCUGCAGACGUGACUUCUGAUCAAAUUCGAACCUCCUAAAGAAACAAAGAGCGACAUUAUAUUGCGGGAUGACGUCACCUGAAAAUGACCAAUAGCGCGGCGCGCUGCUGAGCUGUGUGCCAACCGCUCUUUUUUUCAUGCAGGAGACUCAAGUUGGCUUCGCUAACGGACACAGUUUUGAACUCGUAUAUUAGCGCCAUUUAUUGCUGCUUGGACCACAGCAUCUUCGGAAUUUGUAGACAUCCUGGCAGCAUACAAUUAGUUCGAGGUGAGGUGAGUACAUGCAACUUCAAGUUAUCUCUGUUAUAAAAAUCCACCAGCCCAGCGUUUAUAGAUAAUUUUAGCAGUUCGUUUUUUAUGAGUGAGGUUGUGAAUUUAGUUAGCAUUUGUGAGUUGAGUUAGCAUUACUGUCGCCAGGGAAGCAUUGCUCUGGAUUAGUUUCUGUGUUUGGCGUGCUUAAUUUGCUAGGGAGGAAUUACCAAAGUACAUGGAGUUAUGUUAACCUGUAAUUUCUGUGGUAAGGUAGUUCAGUCAUCAAGGGGCUACGUGCUUCAUUGUAAACUGCAUCGGAAUGAGCCACGUUGUUUCUUUCGGUGUAUUGAAGCAGGCUGCAAGCAGACAUACACCAGGUAUGGCGCGUUUAAGGCUCAUUUUUACCGAAGACACUCUGCCCCCACCCAUGUCACUGGUGUGGCGGUGGUUUCUUCGUUUACAUGUGCAAUGGCGAUGUGUGAACAUCAGUGUCAGAACUCUCUCUUUAUGAUUAAAAAGGUUUGUUUUGUUCCUGCCCUUUUCAGACACUGAAUUUGAGCAGAAACCAUAAGGAUACUCAAAGGACCUGUGACUCUCAGGAAAUGGUGAGAUUUCAGCAUCAAAUGAGAGGGACAGAUGAAACAGUUUCAAGACAAUGGCAGGAAAAACAUGCUGAAGAUUGAAACAAACCUUGGCUGGAAAUAUUUGAAAGUAUCUAGCCAGUCCACAAUGAAAGCUUCGUUGCACCCCAUGAGUCUUCUGGCAGAAAUGAUGGCGCCUGUAUUCUUUGGUUUCCCUAAACAUCACACCCUGCCUGUUUAUACGAGGCUCUUCAAUUAAGUCUGCACCCAAAGAUUCAAUAAGAGAGGGGAUCCUGCCAGUCCAAAGUGAACUCCUGAUGGACAUUGAAGUACUCCUGCAGAGCUUGUAUCUUCGACACCAUGCGCAUUAGAAACUCCACUGAGUCCUUUCCUUCACCAAGGCAGGACCCAGUGACUCAUUACUGUUGAUAGGUCAGGGGCAGGUAAUAUUUUGUUUUAUGUUUAUUCAUUCCUCCAUGGAUUACCAGCCAUAUAUAUGGACACAUGCUGUAUUCUCAAGAUCUAUGCUGUUUUGUAGGAAUAGAGAAAAUGAUAUGUUUAGUCUGUUUUCAAAUGGUAUGUCAAAUUUUCUCAUUGUUUAUCAGUAAUAUUCACUACCUUGGUUAUAUAUGAGCAUCUUUAGAUUUUUCUAUAUUUAGCAGUUGCAAAUGUAAAAUGUACGGUAAACCAUUUAUGUUCCUCAUACUGUACUGUAUUUUUAGCGGUAAAAUACCGGCAGCUGUGGUUGCCAGGAAUUUACCGUAAAAUGUAUCUGGUCAAAAUAAAAUGCUGUAAUUUGUUAUACAA